ACACCUCAACUCUCAUGGCUUGCCAUGAUGAGCUUGGACUCUGGGGGUCUUGCUGGCCUAUGGUCGGCUCCUCUCAAAUGAAUCAGCUUGCCAGUGUUUGGUGGCAUCACGGGUGUGAUAACUAUCUACGCUUGUGGUUUUACACCAGGUGACCUUUGGUGACGGAGGUCCGCUGGGGCUCAUAAAUGUCUCUCCUCGGCGAGGACAGCUCUUUGAAC
rnacentral:misc_RNA from 1 species